CGGUGAAGCCAAGCUUGCUUGGUGGAUCAGUGGCGAACGGGUGAGUAACACGUGAGCAACCUGCCCUGGACUCUGGGAUAAGCGCUGGAAACGGCGUCUAAUACUGGAUAUGAGACGUGAUCGCAUGGUCGUGUUUGGAAAGAUUUUUCGGUCUGGGAUGGGCUCGCGGCCUAUCAGCUUGUUGGUGAGGUAAUGGCUCACCAAGGCGUCGACGGGUAGCCGGCCUGAGAGGGUGACCGGCCACACUGGGACUGAGACACGGCCCAGACUCCUACGGGAGGCAGCAGUGGGGAAUAUUGCACAAUGGGCGAAAGCCUGAUGCAGCAACGCCGCGUGAGGGAUGACGGCCUUCGGGUUGUAAACCUCUUUUAGCAGGGAAGAAGCGAAAGUGACGGUACCUGCAGAAAAAGCGCCGGCUAACUACGUGCCAGCAGCCGCGGUAAUACGUAGGGCGCAAGCGUUAUCCGGAAUUAUUGGGCGUAAAGAGCUCGUAGGCGGUUUGUCGCGUCUGCUGUGAAAUCCCGAGGCUCAACCUCGGGCCUGCAGUGGGUACGGGCAGACUAGAGUGCGGUAGGGGAGAUUGGAAUUCCUGGUGUAGCGGUGGAAUGCGCAGAUAUCAGGAGGAACACCGAUGGCGAAGGCAGAUCUCUGGGCCGUAACUGACGCUGAGGAGCGAAAGGGUGGGGAGCAAACAGGCUUAGAUACCCUGGUAGUCCACCCCGUAAACGUUGGGAACUAGUUGUGGGGACC
rnacentral:rRNA from 1 species